UACGGGGGGGGCAAGCGUUGUUCGGAAUUACUGGGCGUAAAGGGCUCGUAGGCGGCCAACUAAGUCAGACGUGAAAUCCCUCGGCUCAACCGGGGAACUGCGUCCGAUACUGGUGGGCUCGAAUCCGGGAGAGGGAUGUGGAAUUCCAGGUGUAGCGGUGAAAUGCGUAGAUAUCUGGAGGAACACCGGUGGCGAAGGCGGCAUCCUGGACCGGUAUUGACGCUGAUGCGCGAAAGCCAGGGGAGCAAACGGG
rnacentral:rRNA from 1 species